GGAUUGAAAAUAGGCUCAAAAAAAAGAUUCUGCAAAGUAAGUAGCACUAUGGCUUUUGGGUCAUCGGGAGUCGGGACCUUUUACUUUUAAAAAGAAUUCGAUUCGCCGAGUUUUUAAGGACAACCGAAAGCCAUUCUUGAGAGACAACGACGAAGAUCAUUUUGCAGAGCCCCUCACUCAAGGAUCCCGAAAUCCCCGAUUCCCAAUGGCCAACAAGAGAAUUCGAGAAGCCGCCAUUUGCUGCUCGUCAUUUUCGAUCUCUCGAUGGAAUCACGAUGUCUUCUUGAGUACUUACAGUCAAGAUCCGAGCAACAAAAUCAUCAUCGAAGGCAUCUACGAUGCUUUGGUCCAGAAAGGAGUUCGCACCUUGAAAGGCGACGACGAUGAACACAAGCAGCAGCGAGGAGGAGAGAAAGCAUUAAUUGAAGAAUCGAGGAUCGCUAUAGUCCUUUUAUCAAGAAAAUACGUUUCUUCGAUGUGGCGUCUGGAUGAACUAGUGAAGAUAGUUGAAUGCAGAAGCUGGACUGGUCUAACUGUUUUGCCUGUUUUCUGUGAUGUGGAUCCGUCGGAUGUACGAAAACAGACCGGUUGUUUGGAGGAAGCGUUAGCGAGACAUGGCCGGGAGGGUUUCGAAGAGAAGUUGGAGAGGUGGAGGGCAGCUCUUACCACAGUGGCUAACCUUUCUGGUUGGGAUCUGCAUAACAUUUCUAAUGGGCAUGAGGCAAAAUUUAUCGAAACAAUUGUUGAUGCUGUUGUUUUGAUUAAACGAAGUCGAACACCAUUGAACAUCUCUAGUUAUCUCAUUGGAAUAGAUUCCCGUGUCGCAACGUUGAUGAGUUCAAAAUGUUCAAUUCGUUCUCCAUCAGAAGUACAUAUCAUAGGGAUUUGUGGUAUCAGUGGAAUAGGCAAGACAACCAUUGCGAAAGCUGUAUAUAAUGAAAUUUGUCAUAGAUUUGAAGGUUACAGUUUUCUUGAGAAUGUUAGAGAAGUUUCACAACAACACAAUGGUCUAAUUAGUUUACAAGAACAACUCCUUUCUGAUGUCCUUAUGAAGAAAAACUUGAAGAUAAACAACGUUGAUAGAGGAAUAAAUGUGAUCAAACAGAGGCUUCACUGCAAAAGGGUUCUUAUUGUUAUUGAUGAUGUAGAUCAUUCUGAGCAAUUAAAUGCAUUGGCUGUCAAGUAUGAUUCAUUUGGUGUGGGAAGUAUGAUCAUUGUCAUAUCAAGGGAUAAACAUUUGCUAAACGAGGUUGAAGCGUGUCACAUUUAUCAUCCUGAAGAGUUAGACUCUCGUGAAUCUCUUCAACUUUUCAGUUGGCAUGCAUUCAAGAGUGAUGGUCCACCUGAUGAUUAUAAGGAGGUGUCCAAGGAGAUAGUCAGUAAUGUCAAAGGACUUCCAUUAGCUCUUGAGGUCAUAGGAUCUACAAUGUUUGGCAAAAGAAGUUUAUCUGAAUGGGAGAAUGUAUUAGCCAAACUAAAAAGUACUCCUGAUUAUCAAAUUCAAAAAAAACUUAGAUUAAGUUUUUAUGAUUUGGAUGACAUAGAGAAGGAUAUUUUCCUUGAUAUAGCAUGCUUCUUUAUUGGAAUGGACGAAAGCUAUGUAUCUAAAAUACUAGAUGGAUGCAACUUGUUUCCAGUUAUCGGAAUCAGCGUUCUCAUUCAAAGAUCUCUUAUUACAAUUGAUGAAAAGAAGAAACUAAGGAUGCAUGAUCUUCUUCGAGAGACGGCAAAAGAAAUUGUUCGUGAAGAAUCUCCUAAACAACCUGGAAGACGUACAAGAUUAUGGUCAAGAGAGGAUGUUUGUGAUGUAUUGGCGAAACAUAAGGGAACCAAAUCUAUUGAAGGCAUCACCCUAAAGAUUUCUCAACUUGAAGAUGUGUGUUUUAAUACUGAAGCAUUUGUAGAUGUACAUAAUCUAAGACUGCUUCAACUCAAUAAUGUACGCCUAAGGGGAGGAUAUGAACAUCUCUCUAAGAAACUAAGAUGGCUUUGUUGGCAUGGAUUCCCUUUGAAUUCUAUACCUACCAAUUUUCACAUGGAGAAUCUUAUUGUUCUUCACAUGGAAAAUAGCAGUGUUAAAGAGGUUUGGAAGGAAAUCAAGCUGCUCAAAAGGUUGAAAAUCCUGAACCUUAGUCACUCGAGUUACUUGAGGAAAACCCCCAACUUCUCAGGAGUCCCCAAUCUUGAGGAACUGGUCCUUGAACAUUGUAAAAGUCUUGUUGAGGUUCACGGAUCCAUUGGGUAUCUUGAAAAGCUUAUAGUCUUGAAUUUGAAAAAUUGCAAUAACCUUAUGAAGCUUCCAGAAAGCAUUGGUAUGUUGAGAUCUCUUGAAGAGCUCAAUCUCCAUGGUUGCUCGAAACCAGUGCAACGAUCUACUUAUUGGUUUUCUUCAUUCCCCCAAUAUCUCGGUUCACUAAGAAGACAGCAUGCUUCUACCAAUUUGCUUCCUUCUUCUUUCUCUGGUUUAUGCUCUUUGAAAUCAUUAAAUCUCAAUUAUUGCAAUCUGUCAGAAGAUAUGAUUCCCAAUGAUUUCUGGAGCUUGCCAUGGUUGAGGGUGUUAAGAAUGGACAGGAACAGAUUUUGCACCCUACCAGCCAACAUCAGACAUCUUCCUCAUCUUGAAGAUCUUACACUGAGAGAUUGUAGAGAUCUCAAACUAAUAAUGACAGAGCUUCCGCCAAUUUUAAGAUAUUUGGAUGUAGCAGGUUGCUCAACAAUGGAAAUAUUACCAUCCAACAUCAGCAAUCUCUCUCGACUUAGGCAUCUUAUUUUGAAUGGAUGUAAGAGGCUACAAUCAUUGCCAGAGCUUCCACCAUGCUUGGAGGUGUUGGAGGCAAAUGAUUGUGCAUCUUUGCAAGGAGUAGACGUUGAGGGCUUAGAGUACUUAAAAGAGUUAGUUAUCGAUUAUGAUCACUUCUGUAGUAAAUCGGAUGAAAUAUGUUGCCUUCCUAAUCUUGAGAUGCUAACUUUGGAAGGCUGUGGUAGGCCUCAAAUACUGCCAAAGCUUCCAUCAAGUUUAGAUACCUUGUUUGUAGAUGGUGACAUAUCGAAUUUGCUAGUCAAUUGCAGGGAGAUCCAGAGCAUGGAAACUUGUCAUCAAUCUGUACAAGGCGUCCACAUGGAAGGGUACUGCCACCAUCUGGGGAACACUUUGAGGAAGAAUAGCUUCUUCCAUCUCCAGGAUCACUUUGAAAUAUGGGGUAGUGGGAGUGAAAUUCCGGAAUGGAUAAGCCAUCAAAAUAUGGGGUCUUCAAUAUCCUUUGAGGUAUCUGAUGAUGACUACUGUUCAAGUUGUCAGAUCCAAGGGUUGGAUGUAUCUGCUGUUUUUUCAGUUGAGAAAUUCACCGUUCACUUGCGUUCUCACACUGUCAUUUGUAAUAAAACUAAAGGUAUUCGAUGGAGGUCCUUUUUUGUUAAUUGGCAACGCACAAGUCCACUUCCACUAGGUCAAGAUUUAUUGUGGGUGCGCCAUAUUACAAUUCCUGAACUUUGGGGUUUCUCAGGACGCGAAGCUGUUUUUGGCGAUCACUUUGAAGUGGGGGAUCAGGUGGAGGUUUCAGUAGAUAUUGAGGCUUAUUAUCCUAGUGGAAGUUUGCAAGUGAAGAAGUGUGGAGUCCUUCUGGUCCACAGGCCACAUGAGAAGAACCUAUCAGAUGAUCAAUCAAUGGCAGAAUACAUGUCUGCUUCAGAUGAUGAUGAUGAUGUCGUUUUCAAUGGAGAAGAAUCAGUAUUGGUUCACCUUAAAGAUGAUGAGAAUAAAAUCAGUGGCCAUAAUAUUGAGGGCAUCGCAGAAAAUGGCAUUGAUGCCAAAAGGUUGAGGAUUGGGCUGUAAUUAUUGCAACAUAUAUAUAUUAGUUGCCAUUUCCCAUAUAUAUAUAUGGAACACAUACAAGCCCAUUGCAGAGGCCAAUUCAUUUGCAAGCUGGAUGAUACUCAGCUUGUACUAUCUUCCCCAUGAAGGCGCAUGGCAUGUAUCAGAAAGGACUCAAAAUGACAAUUAAAUCAGCACAUAAAAUGUAAUACAUCAUUCCAAUCGGUGAAUUUAUUCAAAAGCAAGAAUGGUUUUAUGGCUUUAAAACUUGACCUUAGCAAUGCUUAUUGAUAAAGUUGAAUGGGUUUUUCUUGAAAUUGUCUUCACUAAAUUUGGAUUUAGUUCUACUUGGAUUUAUUGGAUUAUGCAAUGUAUUACUGCUGUACCUUUCCAUGAGAAGCUUAUUGAAUCCCUUUCAGACCCCUUUACAUCUCAUAGGGGACUCCAUCAAGGAUGCCCCUUAGGCCUUAUCCAUUCAUUCUUUUCCAAGAGGCUUUAUCCUCAUAUUUUUCAAGAACUGAACACCUUAAAAUCAUUUGGGGGAUUAAACCUUGUAGAGAUGGCCCUUCGAUUUCCCAUUUUCUUUUUGCCGAUGAUUUUUAUUUUUUUCUACGGCUAGGAGAUUUGAGGGACAGACCUUUAUUCAACUUAUUGGGAACUAUUGUUUGGUAUCAGGCCAAAGUCUCAAUAUGAGCAAAUCAAAUGUUUGGUUUAGCCCUUGUAUUCCCAUUUCUGUCCAAAGAGAAAUCUUUAUGACUAUAGGUUUCCAACCUGUCACAAAUUUGGGUAAGUAUUUAAGGAUCCCUAUGAAAUUUGGCCAAUCCAAAAAUGCUUUAUUUCUUCACAUUGCUGAAAGGGUUCAAUCCAAAUUAGCAGGGUGGAAAGAGAAUUUAUUAUCUGCUGUCGGGAAAUAAAUUCUGGUUAAGUCAGUUGCUUCAGUUGCGACUGCUUUUCCUACAUACUUGAUGUGUAUAUUUCUUUUCCCCAUUGAUUAGUCCAAAGAUUUGAACUAAAUCAUUAGGAAUUAUUGGUGAAAAGAUAAAAAUUGAAAAGAGGUCUGUUGGGAACAACUUUGCAAAAGUAAAAGGGUACUAGGUCUUGAAUUUAGGGAUUUUGAAUGCUUUAAUAAAGCUCUACUUGCUUGGCAACGUUGGAGAAUCUUGCUUAGUAGUGACUACCCCCAAACAUAGUUGCUCUUUUCUUGAGGCCACUCCUAAGCAUAACUGCUCUUGGAAGGUGGAGAUGUUUACUUGGUGGAAGGGAGGUUUUGGUUAAGGGCUUAAGAAGACAUAAUGGUAAUGGUCUAGUAUCCAUUCCCAUCAUUCUGUGAAUGUCGUUGCUGAUCUCAUUCAUCAGCCCUAUAAACAAUGGAAUAUACCUCUUAUUCAUGCUUUGUUCUCUCCUGCUGAUGCUGCUUCCAUUGCUCAAAUUCCCUUUGCACAACUAGUGAGGAGGAUUGUUGGCUUUGGAGUUUCACUAAUACUGGUUUGUUCUCAGUAAAAUCUCCUUAUUGUUGCUCUUUGACUCAUUCAAGU